rnacentral:rRNA from 1 species
UACGAAGGGGGCUAGCGUUGCUCGGAAUCACUGGGCGUAAAGGGUGCGUAGGCGGGUCUUUAAGUCAGGGGUGAAAUCCCGGAGCUCAACUCCGGAACUGCCUUUGAUACUGGCGACCUUGAGGCUGGAAGAGGUUAGUGGAAUUCCCAGUGUAGAGGUGAAAUUCGUAGAUAUUGGGAAGAACACCAGUGGCGAAGGCGGCUAACUGGUCCAGAUCUGACGCUGAGGUGCGAAAGCGUGGGGAGCAAACAGG